CCUACGGGUGACAGCAGUGGGGAAUCUUGCACAAUGGGCGAAAGCCUGAUGCAGCGACGCCGCGUGAGUGAAGAAGUUUUUCGGAAUGUAAAGCUCUGUCAGCAGGGACGAAAAUGCCGGUACCUGAUUAAGAAGCACUGGCUAACUACGUGCCAGCAGCCGCGGUAAUACGUCGGGGGCAAGCGUUCUCCGGUUUUACUGGGGGUAGAGGGAGCGUGGACGGCAGGUCAAGUCUGGAGUGAAAGCCCUGGGCUUAACCCGGGAACUGCCUUGGUAACUGGGCAACUAGAGUGCAGGAGAGGAGAGUGGAAGUCCUAGUGUAGCGGUGAAAUGCGUAGAUAUUAGGAGGAACACCAGUGGCGAAGGCGGCUUACUGGUGUGUAACUGACGUUGAGGCUCGAAAGCGUGGGUAGCAAACAGGAUUAGAUACCCUAGUAGUC
rnacentral:rRNA from 1 species